ACAGCUCUCCACCAUGCUGCCCUGCUCGCCUGCCACCGGGACCCCAGACCAAGCCCGACCAUGACCAGCCGCGACCGCAGCUCCUUCAGACUGACCCGAGCCGGCGUGGCCCCCGGACCUGCAGCCACGCCACUCGCUGUUCCUUUUUCCUAUGCAUAUACUUCUUUGAGGGUCUGGCCUAAAGAGGUGUAGGGCAUGGGAAAAUGGGGCCCCGAGGUUCCCCUGCGCCACAGCCUGCUCCCUGCCAGGCACCCGCCUCGAGACCUGCCUCCGCGUCCCGCACACCAGGUCAGGGCUUCUGACCUCCGCUUUGGGGUGAGGGGGUCACAGUUUGUGGGACAGGAUGGGGCGACCUUCACUUCCAUGGGUGCCUAGAGCUGUGGGUGUGGUCCAAGCCCCGUUCCUGGUCUGCACCCAGGAGCAUGGUGGGGGUGCGGCCCUGGGGAUGGAAGGUGUGGGAACAGGAGUGGGACGGCCCGCCUGUAACCACGCGGGGCCUGACGCACCCAGCGGUGGGGGGUGUCAGCGAGGGUGGCCAUGGGGCUGCUUCUCCACGCUCAUCAUGCUGUGAUAAUGAGUGUAAUGCAAAUAAAGGUAAUUUCAUGUAGA